UGGGGAAUAUUGGACAAUGGGCGAAAGCCUGAUCCAGCCAUGCCGCGUGUGUGAAGAAGGUCUUCGGAUUGUAAAGCACUUUAAGUUGGGAGGAAGGGCAUUAACCUAAUACGUUAGUGUUUUGACGUUACCGACAGAAUAAGCACCGGCUAACUCUGUGCCAGCAGCCGCGGUAAUACAGAGGGUGCAAGCGUUAAUCGGAAUUACUGGGCGUAAAGCGCGCGUAGGUGGUUUGUUAAGUUGGAUGUGAAAUCCCCGGGCUCAACCUGGGAACUGCUUUCAAAACUGACUGACUAGAGUAUGGUAGAGGGUGGUGGAAUUUCCUGUGUAGCGGUGAAAUGCGUAGAUAUAGGAAGGAACACCAGUGGCGAAGGCGACCACCUGGACUAAUACUGACACUGAGGUGCGAAAGCGUGGGGAGCAAACA
rnacentral:rRNA from 1 species